AACGAACGCUGGCGGCAGGCCUAACACAUGCAAGUCGAACGAUAUAGUGGCGGACGGGUGAGUAACGCGUGGGAACGUACCUUUCACUACGGAAUAGCUCCGAGAAAUUGGUGGUAAUACCGUAUACGCCCUCAGGGGGAAAGAUUUAUCGGUGAAAGAUCGGCCCGCGUUGGAUUAGCUAGUUGGUGAGGUAAUGGCUCACAAAGGCGACGAUCCAUAGCUGGUCUGAGAGGAUGAUCAGCCACACUGGGACUGAGACACGGCCCAGACUCCGACGGGAGGCAGCAGUGGGGAAUCUUGCACAAUGGGCGAAAGCCUGAUGCAGCCAUGCCGCGUGAAUGAUGAAGGCCUUAGGGUUGUAAAAUUCUUUCGUCAGGGAUGAUAAUGACCGUACCUGAAGAAGAAGCCCCGGCUAACUUCGUGCCAGCAGCCGCGGUAACAC
rnacentral:rRNA from 1 species